AACCCACUGAGCAAGGCCAGGGAUGGAACCCAACCUCAUGGUUCCCAGUCGGAUUCGUGAACCACUGCGCCACGAGGGGAACUCCUACCACAGAAGUUCUUGAGUCUCAGCGCUGUACACCUCCAGAUGCCAGGGCUGCACUGUGGAUACCCAACCAGGGUCCCGAAGAAAAUAGCAGCAGCCGGUCCUCCUUGCCGGGCGACGCCUUUGGAACCCAGGGCCUUAUGGCCCCCUGUUUUAUCGGGCAUGAGACCGAUGGUGACUCUCUCUCCCCCGCCUCGCCCCCGCGGGAGAAGCGACAUGGAGGAGACGCUUGGAAACGUCCAUCUAGACGAACUUCCAGCCAGGAGAGGAUGCUGAGCUCCCAGAGUGGAUGACGGAGGUGGUAACAUCCUUCCCCACCCCCACCCGACCUUGCCAGAUACAUGAAAACUCUGGAAUUGAUAAAGGCAGAGAGGCAGGGGCGGGGGAGGGCAGAAUGGUCCGGAGUGUGGUCUGGUCCUGGACUGUGAAGGCCAUGGUUUUGAACCGGUUCUUGGGAGUCUCGCGGGCAUCCUUCUUGCUGCAGGCCGCGUUUGGGGUGAGGGUCCGUCUUUCAGGCACGUAGCAUGGGUCAGCCUGCCUCCCCUGGUCUGGUGGGACUGGUUUUUCUAGCUGGUGGAGGGGUCGGUGAGGAGUUGGCAGGGGCAGAGGGUUUUAUGUAAAUGCCCAGGGAGUGCUCUGGGAACAGGGAGGCUGGUUUUCUCAAAGACACGCAGGGACUGGCAGCUCCCAAUUAGCCAGGCUGGGUGAUGUCACUGCUGCUUUCCUGGGUGGCUGCGCCCACUCCGACUGGCCUUGGCAGAGGUUCCUGGCCAUUACCUUCUCCCUUGGGUGGGAGGGGUGCCAAGGGGGCCCCCCUGCAGGACAGAUGCCAGGUCCCCUCCCAGCAUAUUCCCCCACCUGGGGCCCAAACCGUGUUGUGGACCAGCCCUGGAAAGGGCCGUGAAAAACCACCGCAGACUCUACUGAAAGACUUUAAUGUGGCUGAUCUUUGAACCCUCCCCACAAACCCGACAGGCUGGGGAGCACUCCGUGUGCUGGGCGGGGCCCAGAGACUGUUGCCAUGGCAGCCGCAGGGCAGCUUUGCGGCACCAACAUGAGUUUCAAUAAAUAGAGGGCAAAGGGGCUUUGGUCGCCCACCAAGCGGGGCAGACAAAGACCUGGAGUGCUGGACACAGCACACUGUCUGUCGCGUCUGUCACCUCACACAUGCACACCAUCAAGGAUACACACCUAGGAUCAUGGGCCCCCGCAGACCCCUGUCAGACGUCCUCACAUGACACACCGUCUUCAGACACACGCACGCGUGCACAAACACGUGCCGCAUGCACACACACACACACACACACACACACACACGCAUACAUACACAUACACAUGCUUUCCUCAGACCUUCCGGAUCGAGCUCAUCUUCCUUGCAGCCUCACACGAGGUUACCCACGCCUCCC